UAAAAUCAUCCACUACAUAAUCAUUCUAUACAAUUAACCAUCUAAAGCUACCACAAUUCUUCAAUCAAAGUAUAUAUCUACAUAUAUAGAGAGAGUACACUUCAUAAUUUCGUCCCUUGCCUUCCGUAAACGUAGCACAAAAAUUUGAUACCCAGUAUUGUAAGGCAGGUCGUAAAAGCAGUCUUCCUGCACAUAUUUAAAAAUAAUAGCAAGUCAGGAAAAUGAAGCAAAUAGGUCACCAAAGACACUUAAUGUCAAAAUCAAUACACAAAGACAAUAGAGUUGCUACGUGGUACUAAUGUACACCGUAUUGCUCAUAAGCAGAAAAAGAUGCAAUCACAAUAUCUUUUGCUACAAAUCCAAAUAGAAAAAGAACCUUCAGUGCGACUAUAUGAUAUUAGAAACUGAAUGUUGAGCACAAGCAAGAAUCAAUAAGUAUAACUGUAACCAUAAAAACCAUGUGGAUCAACUGGACAAAGAAGAAUUUUAUGCUAUUUGAAUUUCUUGAAGUCUAUAUUUCUCUAAUUACUCAUAAUUUGAAGGAUGUACUGUUCAGCAAAUUUAAAUUUCUAAACAUUUGAAUUAGACUUACAAUCUGAAAUGUAAUUCUAACUGUGCUAGGUUGGGGUUUCUUUACAAAAAAUUGUAUAGAGUUGCAGAGGAUGUCCCCACUGUUUUAUAUUUGUUCAGAAAAAAUAAUUUUUUUAUCCUUCUGGAAACUGACGGCAGUCACGGCAAGGAUGGGACUUCAAAAUCUAAAAUUAUUACUUCAAGAUGUAUACUCACUUAAUAGGACAUUCUCUACUCCCAAAAUAGCAAGCCAGGACAACUUUUAUUUACUAAAUUUAUUUAGCUAGCAUUAAAUAAAAUAAAAUAUAAAAAAAAAGAUAUGGCUAAACUUGCCAUAAUUUAAUUUAGCAAUCAAGAGAAGAGAUACUUGGUUGAGGCACAUAUACUGAAUGAGCAAGCCCUCGUUGAAAAGCUGGAGGUGCAUGACACUUCCUUAGUUGAGGCUAUACGCUCUCUCUAUCCAAAUUAUGAUAAAGUUGCUGCUUCUGAAAAUGAGAACUUCAUUGAAAUCAUCCUGACAAGAUUGCUGGUCAGACCUGAUGCUGCUCCCCUUUAUUCAGAGGUGGUACAUCUUUUCGGAGUCACUUGAGGAUUCAAUGUUGUUGCAAGCUAAAUGGUUCCUUGGAGGCCAUGAUGUUCUUUUUGGUAGGAAAUCCAUUAGGCAAAAUAGUCCAAAAUAUUAAGAAUUGAAUCCAUAGGAAUUGAAUCCAAAAUAGCAUAGUCAAAUGAUAUUGUCUUGUGUUGAACACAGGUAUCUAUGCUAUCAGAUUUAACAGUCAUAUUUCCAGAAAAAUUGUUUAAUAAGCAAUGGAUAUACUGAUUUUGGGGAAGAUAAUAUAGAAGAUAAACUUACUUUUUCAAACAUGGAUGAAACCCCAAUUUUAUCAAAUAAAACCGUGUCAACGGGUUUUCCUAACACAAUAAUUUUGUUGAACAUCAAAUUUUGGAAACGGGUAGCAAACUUUUGGGAUCGAAAAGAUAGAGCAGUCCCAAAAAACACGAGGAAUAGAAGGAGGGGAAUCGGGUAUACUCACAGAGAUGGGUUCUUUACCCUUUGAAGAUCUUCGUUUUAUCUACUUAGAUAAGGUGCCCAAAUCUGCAACAAUCUUUUGAAGAUUCCGAUUGAGGCGUCGUUUCUCCCUUGGUUCUGCGAUUACUUCCAGUUCCUCAUGUCUCACCGGUUGUCGCCCGAUUUUAAAGGUGUAACCACCUCUAGUUUUCGCCAUAUAGUUACCGAAGCAAGGAUGGCGGCAGAAAAUGGAAGUAAACCUAGGUUUGUGGCAGAAGAGGAUAGGAGAUGAAUGGGUUUUAAAAAAAAUGAUCUGUUAAGGAGAAAAUAGAAAAUAGAAAAUAGAAAAAUUUUAGAAUAAGGAAAAUAAAAUAACAGAAUACAAAAGGGUUUUAGAAAGAUUGAUAUUUGAUUAGUUUCGAAUUUGGUCUAAGAUGAGUGGGAGAUGAAGACUUUUAAGGAAAAAAAG
rnacentral:lncRNA from 1 species